GUGUGCAGGUGACCCCUGACCUGCAGAACGAGGUGCUGAUGAGCCUGCUGGAGACGGACCCCGACGUGGUGGACUACCUGCUGAGGAGGAAGGCCUCGCAGAGCCCGGAGAGCCCCCCCUCGGAGGCCUCCUUCGUCCCUGAGCGAGCGCCGCUCCUCCAGCGACUCCACCAAGCCGUUCCAGCGGCGAGGUCUCGCCCUACGACAACAACUCCCCCGUCAUGAGCGAGCGCCGGGGGCCCGGGGCCACGCCCCCCCCGCCGCCCUGCCUCCCCACGGACCCCUGCCUCCUCAGGCUGGGGGGCCAGCCUCCGCUCACCCCCGGUCCCUCAGGGGCCCCCCGCGGGCCCCCAUGCUGGGGAACACCAACACCUGGGGCGGAAGAGACACGAUAUCAGAGGAGCACGCCAACAUAUGGGGGGCGUGCAUACCACCCUGAAACCCAUGGGCAACGACCAAUCAGACAGCGGU